rnacentral:rRNA from 1 species
UGAGGAAUAUUGGUCAAUGGGCGAGAGCCUGAACCAGCCAAGUCGCGUGAAGGAUGACUGUCUUAUGGAUUGUAAACUUCUUUUAUACGGGAAUAACAAGAGUCACGUGUGACUCCCUGCAUGUACCGUAUGAAUAAGCAUCGGCUAACUCCGUGCCAGCAGCCGCGGUAAUACGGAGGAUGCGAGCGUUAUCCGGAUUUAUUGGGUUUAAAGGGUGCGUAGGCGGCCUGUUAAGUCAGCGGUGAAAUCUAGGAGCUUAACUCCUAAAUUGCCAUUGAUACUGGCGGGCUUGAGUGUAGAUGAGGUAGGCGGAAUGCGUGGUGUAGCGGUGGAAUGCAUAGAUAUCACGCAGAACUCCGAUUGCGAAGGCAACUUACUAAGGUACAACUGACGCUGAAGCACGAAAGCGUGGGUAUCAAACAGGAUUAGAUACCCUGGUAGUCCACGCAGUAAACGAUGAUAACUGGGCGUAUGCGAUAUACAGUAUGCUCCUAAGCGAAAGCGUUAAGUUAUCCACCUGGGGAGUACGCCGGCNACGGU